UACGUAGGGGGCAAGCGUUGUCCGGAUUUAUUGGGCGUAAAGAGCGUGUAGGCGGCCAGGUAGGUCCGUUGUGAAAACUGGAGGCUUAACCUCCAGCUGUCGAUGGAAACCAUCUGGCUAGAGUCCGGAAGAGGAGAGUGGAAUUCCUGGUGUAGCGGUGAAAUGCGUAGAUAUCUGCAGGAACACCCGUGGCGAAAGCGGUGCGCUGGACCACUACUGACGCUGAGGAACGAAAGCUAGGGGAGCAAACAGG
rnacentral:rRNA from 1 species